UCAAAGCAAUGAAGAUGAUGCCUCCCCAGCUGUUGCCAUUGGCUGUGGGUUUCUUGUGAUGUCACAAAAGCACUUGGCAACUGUGUGGAUAUAAAGGCAGGCCAAGGGGAAAGCCCUUUUUUAUUUCCAACAGGACACACCUGGCAAGGGAUAUGACAUUCAGCACUGCCCAGGUUUCUUCCACUUGAAGGAGGCAAAUUGGUGAAUGGAAGGAGGCAAUCCUCUGGCAGUGGGAUGCUAGGGAGCGAUAAUAAGGCAAGUUUGCUUGCUUGAAGGCUGCUGGUAUCCAUGGUUGGAAGCUGGUGGACGUCUCAUGAUGGACCUAAGAGAAGCUGGCAGUUGUUGGUGGAUGGAACCAGUAGCUUUUGGAUUUGGAAGUUGGUAGAGGCUACAAGGCUAAAGCAGACUGAUGUUGGUGGAUAUUGGCUGAUAGAAGUUCACCUUUGGAAGACAGUCAACAGAAGCCAGUGGAUAUUUGUGGACUGAAGCCAGGGCACGAACAUGAAUGGAUGUCAUGUUUUUGGAUGUCGACUGGUACCGGUAUAUGUUUGUGUGAGUACAUGGGACGUUUCAAAUGUGGUUGAGGCAGAAUGGUGUUUGCAUGUUCAUUAAUGUGAUGUGUGAAAGAAUAGAUGAAACCCAUGGGAGGAGGAAUAUAGGUUUCAGAGAAUUAGAGCAUCAGAGAAUCAAGUUUGGGAGGGACCGUGAGCAUCAUCCAGCCCAACCCCCUUACAAUGCAGGAAUCUUUUGCCCGACUUGGGCCUCAAACCCAUGACUUUGAGAUUAAGAGUAUCAUGCUCUACUGAUUGAGAACCUCAUUUCAUUAGACUUGAUUUUUUUUUAAAAAAAAUGUAGAGUAUGAUGUAUAAAUAUGAAUGCGGAUGUCCAGGAAGUGUUGAAAUUCAGACCUCCUCACAAACAACAAGGAGCCUAAGGAACCGUCUAGAAUCAGAGGAGCAACAGGGAGUAAAAAAAUAUACAAAGAGAUCAAUCAAUUUAGACCUAGAAACAAGAAUGUGUGUUUUUUAAUUAUCUUAUGGAGACUGUGUGCGGGUUAGGUUUUGUAUUUCACAUUCUCUCCUCAGGCUUCGAGGGACGCAUGAAAGAAACUACUGUCUGAAUUUGUUUGUGAUAGUCACUUGAAGGGCUUCUGACAGAAGUCUGCACUUCUCUCUAUUUCUACAUUUAUUUACAAAGCUAAAUUGGGUCCUCAAGGGACCUAUUUAUACCCAUGCACGUAACCCAGAGCUUCCUCCUUUGGCGUGUGCAUUCGGAACACCCGCCCACCUCUCCCUACUUUUAGGGCUUUGCGCUUGACCUUGCUAUGCCGUUGUGUGUCGUCUGUCAUUGGGACAGGAGCACGGCAGGAAUUUUCCCCACUUGGCUGAUUGGCUGGUGCCAUUUGGGUUUCGCCAGCUGCAUAGCAAAUCGUCACAACUUGUAAGAUUGUGGAUAGGCUCUGGUUCAGGUGACAGGGAUGGGAGAACGCUCUCGCCAUCCCUACGUGAAGGGUAUUCCGUUAAAGGAAUCCAGGGACUCGAUGGUUUGUUCAACCCCUGAGAGGGGGUUGUGCCCGUGCCUGAGUCUAGGGGGACAUCUGGGUGGUGGACAUAGCCUUUCCGCCUAUCCGGGUGUUCACCCUAGGCUGACCUAUGCUGGUGCCCUGGGUCAGCGCUACCUGCAAGGCAGGGAGCUAGUCGAACCAGAGCCUAUGAAACCACUCACUUGCUGCAAUCUAUAAAGUUGUGGCCUAAAUUCUCCCAAAAACCAAACCAAAAUUUGAGUCUUGACUGAAUUUAUUUAAGGGGGAGGUUUAAAGGUCUGAACAUGCAAAAGCAUGGCUUUGUCUCUGCUGUGGCACCCAAGCCAAUUGUUGAAUCAGAAUUACGGAGGUGUCUUAGAGGUGGAGCACUCCAGUACCAAUCAACAUUCUCUGUCCUUUUACUCACACCGGCAGCCAAACAGUGAACAUUGAAUAGUCCACUGAUUGGUGGCCAAAACAUUAAUAAAAAACAAACAAACACUGAGAGCUGUAAUUACAGACUUUGCCCAGAAUGUCUGUGUUCCUGGAGUUCGGCUUUUAAUAUAUACAGUUUACAUCAGUAUCUUAAGGUUUCCAGAAUGCACUCCAAAAACCAGACCACAUUCUUAAAAGACCCCGGGACCUAGUAUAGCAGGAAUAAUAAUAAUAAUAAUAAUAACAGAAGCAAAGCACUGUUUUAUUUUUCAAAAGAGUUCCCUGCAAAUGUCAAUUCAUCUCUUUUCUCCAGUGUCUAUUUUUUUUAAAUGAUAUUUAUUCCAAGUUUAAAGUUACCAAAAAAGAGAAAGAAAAACCAUACAAAAUACAAAGAAAACUUUAACCAUAACAAAGCGAAAAAUAAAAAGAUUAAAGUAAACAAUAAAAUAGAAUAAAAAAGAAGACUUAACAAAAAAUAUAAAAAUGCAUUAAGUUAAAAUAAAGCAAAAACAGAUUAAACCUUUACAUAGCCUUUUCCCUUUACUUAUUUCCAUGACUUCCUCUCACCUCCCAAUUUUGUAUUCUAGUUCAGAUCGUAUUUCCAGCAAAUCCUUCUAACCUUAUUUUCAUUUACGUAUUUUAAAUUAAAAUAAUAUAAUUAAACCUCCUCUGUUUCGUCAAUUUCAUCAACUCAUUUUCUCAUUUUCUCCAGUGUCUAGUGCAAUUAACGGGCCUUCGUCAUGCACAUAUAAGUAUUUUUUUAUCAUAUGCAUGAAGUUGGUUGUAACAUGUGGGUUUUUUUCUAUUGGGUAUUUGCUUUUAAAAAUGUAAAAAAAAAAAGUUCUCUUUGUUCCUAAUACAUUUUAUGGAUUUCAAGAAAACAAAACAGAGCAGCUUUGAAUUAAACAUACGUAACAGAAUCCAGUCACAGAUUAUAGAAUACCCGGUACAGAAUCAGACUAGAUCACAGCAGGUAAUUAAAUUUUCUUAGAAGAGUUGCUACCUGUUUUGUGUGUUUAUUAUUGUUCCGCAACAGCCUUUCCUACUGCAAGUAAUAUCAGCCAGUCAUUGAGGGCAUGUCUGACAAAAACUAUAGCUGACACCUCACAUGCUUCCAGGAAUACAGCUGUAAUAUAGACUUGAUGUUUGAGUCGGUCAUCAUUUGCCUUUCAGUAUUUUAAGUUUUGGAACUCAGUCUGGCAGAAUCUCUUCAUCUGGGUUGCCCUGGUAACCAAUGCCAAGAUAGCUUUUCCUUUAUUAACAAUACUUUCCAACUUGAUUUAUCACUAGCCGCCAUCUCCAAUUUAGUAUAUGAUAUCCCAAGGUUGGUCCUAUCAAAUUAGAAAAGAUUUUUCAUUCUACAUAUGGUUGCUUUCAUUCUCGGCUGCUCGUAAGAUCUGGGUCAAGAUAAGAGGGAAAUAAUAAAUUUUAAGAGGCUUUAGCAUGAAAAUGUAGGGUAGGGUCUCUAAUGUUAGCCAUAUUCACUGUAGACCCAUUAAAGCUAUUAGGCAUGACUAACUUAGAUCUAUUAAUUUUAAUGAGUCUGAUCUGAGCAAAAUUUAAUUGGAAUAAAAUGUAUGGCCAUAGCCACUCAAAGCUUACAGGGUGGGCAUGAAUUUAUCAUAUGAAUUUCAACCUGCAUCUUAUCUCUACCUGUUGCAGUAUUUGACACAGAGGCUGCUAGUGAAGAACUGUAAUACUACUACUACUACUACUACUACUACUACUACUACUAAUUUAUUUAUACCCCGCCCAUCUGGCUGGGUUUCCACACUCUGGGCGGCUCCCAGUAGAAUUAAUGAUGAUGAUGAUGAUGAUAAGGCGAUAAAACAUCAGACAUUAAAAGCUUCCCUAAACAGGAUUGCCUUUAGGUGUCUUCUAAAAGUCAGAUAGUUGUUUAUUUCCUUGACAUCUGAUGGGAGGGUGUUCCACAGGGCAGGCACCACUACCGAGAAGGCCCUCUGCCUGGUUUCCUGUAACCUCACUUCUCGCAGGGAGGGAACCGCCAGAAGGCCUUCGGCUCCCUGUAACCUCACUUCUCACAGUGAGGAACCGCCAGAAGGCCCUUGGAGCUGGACCUCAGUGUCUGGGCUGAACGAUGGGGGUGGAGACGCUCCUUCAGGUAUACUGGGCUGAGGCCAUUUAGGGCUUUAAAGGUCAGCACCAACUCUCUGAAUUGUGCUCGGAAACACAAUGUGAACUCAUCUUUCCCACAGUUGAUGAAAUAGCCCUAAUAGUAGUAGUAGUAGUAAUAAUAAUAAUAAUAAUAAUUUAUUUGUACUCCGCCCAUCUGGCUGGGUUUCCCCAGCCACUCUGGGCGGCUUCUACAAAGAAGAACACCCCCCCAUUGUUACAAUGGCAUUUAAUGAUGUGUUUUUCAAAUGUUUGUGUUUUAAGGCACAGUGGCAGAACCAGCUUUGUUUAAAUAUUGGCAAUCUUAUUAUUUGGAUAGGAAGCAUCUCCCGUUCUUCAACAUUUCCUUUGUGACUCUGUCUUCGUGCUUUAUAGAGAGACAAAUGGGCAGCAGUGACUGAAGACUCAUUGCUCACAAGCAAAUGCAGAGAAAGGAGGAUUACACAAAGGCCUAAAAUGGGUGGCCAUCAUUUCAUGUCAUCGUAGCAAGGGGGGGGGGGAGAGAAGGAUCCGUUAAAAUGAUCUCUCUUUGGAUCUAAAUGCAGAAGAAAGUGGUUCAUUUUACUCAUUAAAAAAAGAAGCAUACUUUUCAGAUAUAUACAUUUCACUGAUUUUACA